rnacentral:rRNA from 1 species
CAGUCGCCACGGGAAUACGGAGGGUGCAAGCGUUACUCGGAAUCACUGGGCGUAAAGGACGCGUAGGCGGAUUAUCAAGUCUCUUGUGAAAUCUAACGGCUUAACCGUUAAACUGCUUGGGAAACUGAUAAUCUAGAGUAAGGGAGAGGCAGAUGGAAUUCUUGGAGUAGGGGUAAAAUCCGUAGAGAUCAAGAAGAAUACCCAUUGCGAAAGCGAUCUGCUGGAACUUAACUGACGCUAAUGCGUGAAAGCGUGGGGAGCAAACAGGAUUAGAUACCCCCGUAGUCCCUGUCUCUUAUAC